GUAGCGCGCAGAUUUUAUUCUCGUCUACACCGCAUUCGCCGAUCGCGCGUAUUACCCUCCGAGAACUGCCUUUGAUACACAGUUCGGGAUAUCACGGAUAACGCUUGGUAAAUAUUCAUCAGGAACACUAUGCUUCCGGUUCUUCGCGCUUCGAUCUGAUUCGAUGGGGCUUCGAGCUGAAGGAAUUAUUGUCUGAACGAUCUCGAAUUCAACUUUUAUGCAACAAAUAACAAGAAAGUUAUAGGUUACGUGAAAACGUAGAUCGACGAUAUUACCCUCCCUGAGAAUAUUUGUCAACACGUGCAAUUCAACUUUCAGUUGAAAAAGUGUCGAAGAAGCUGUAGAAAACGAGGAAAAAUAUUUUACUCAAUUAACUUCUCCAUCCCACAGUUCUCUGCAACUCUCUCGCAUAUAACCGAUAAUAAACUUCAUAAACUCUUCGCAGCAUUGAAACAUAAGAACGAAACACCUUUAUCGUAAAAGGGUAUAUCGUGGAGAAGAAUUUUCAAACUGAACACAUGCAAUGAAACAUCGCACGAGACAAGCACGAGGCCGAUCCUAUUUACGAAACUUGCAUGCGGCGACGCGGUCCGCUCGGUGGAAAAGAGCGGCAGCUUUGAAACGGCAAGAUUAAUUGCGAACUUAUUCCGCGCUUACGUACGUCGUGAACGCACAGGGAAAUAUUUGCCCGGUCCUCUUCAGAACUAUGCACAUAAUUACGACGCGUCAAAGGAAGUUUCAGCACUGCAGUGGCGCACGUUACAAACGCGUUAAAUUCACAAUUAAUUUUGUUUCGACUUCAAAGGGCUUUCGAUAAGAAUGGUAAACAGUU